CCUACGGGAGGCAGCAGUGAGGAAUAUUGGUCAAUGGCCGGAAGGCUGAACCAGCCAUGCCGCGUGAAGGUCAGUGCCCUAUGGGCGUUAAACUUCUUUUGUGCGGGAGCAAUAAUGGUCACGUGUGGCCAGACGAGAGUACCGUACGAAUAAGCAUCGGCUAACUCCGUGCCAGCAGCCGCGGUAAUACGGGGGAUGCAAGCGUUAUCCGGAUUUAUUGGGUUUAAAGGGUGCGUAGGCUGUGAGGGAAGUCAGCGGGGAAAUGCCCCCGCUCAAAGGGGUGAAGUGCCAUUGAUACUGCCUUGCUGGAAUGCGGAUGCGGUGGGAGGAAUGUGUGGUGUAGCGGUGAAAUGCAUAGAUAUCACACAGAACACCGAUUGCGAAGGCAUCUCCCGAAUCCGCGAUUGACGCUGAUGCACGAAAGCGUGGGUAUCAAACAGGAUUAGAUACCCGGGUAGUC
rnacentral:rRNA from 1 species